UACGGGGGGGGCAAGCGUUGUUCGGAAUUACUGGGCGUAAAGGGAGCGUAGGCGGGUUUUUAAGUCAGGUGUUUAAUCCCGGGGCCCAACCCCGGACCGGCACUUGAAACUGGGAAUCUUGAAUAGGGGAGAGGUCAGUGGAAUUGGAGGUGUAGCGGUGGAAUGCGUAGAGAUCUCCAAGAACACCAGUUGCGAAGGCGGCUGACUGGACCCAUAUUGACGCUGAGGCUCGAAAGCAUGGGGAGCAAACAGG
rnacentral:rRNA from 1 species